CAUGGAGGGUGAGAAUCCCGUCCGGCUGACCUUCAGGACGUUUUACGAUACGCUCUCAAAGAGUCGAGUUGUUUGGGAUUGCAGCUCAAAAUGGGAGGUAAAUUUCUCCUAAGGCUAAAUACCGGCGAGAGACCGAUAGCGAACAAGUACCGUGAGGGAAAGAUGAAAAGAAUUUUGAAAAGAAAGUCAAACAGUACGUGAAAUUGUUGAAAGGGAAACGAUUGAAGCCAGUCGUACCGACGGGAAUUCAACUUCUCGAGUGCUAAUCGUGGGUGACGUUGAGCCUCACGGCCUUCGUUGCUUGUGUUGUUGGUGCUUUUGGGGUGUACUUUUCCGUAUUGGUAGGUCAGCAUCGAUUUCGAUCGUCAUAAAAUGAUCGGGGGAAUGUAGCUUCGGUCUCGUAUCGGAGUGUUAUAGACCUUGGUAGAUGUGACGAUUGGGAUCGAGGAUUGCAACGAAUACCCUCCGGGCUAUCCGUCUGACCUCUGAAAGUCGCUCGGGUGUCGAAAGCGUGCUUAUGGCUAUUCGAGUUGGCGGUCAACAGGUUAGAACGUGAUUACAUUCGUUAAGGAUGUUGACGUAAUGG
rnacentral:rRNA from 1 species